rnacentral:lncRNA from 1 species
AUUAAUUCCACCCCUAGAGAUUCGUCUCGCUAGCCUAAAUCGACCUUGUGAUGAGCUGCGCUCCACCCACAACAGUCAACAAUAUAAGAGCCUCGCUCUCCCAGUUAUAUAAUUCUGGCUCACCGCGAGGCUCAUUUCACAUUUUCGGCCAGUAAUUGUCUCUAAUACCAACUGUGACGCCCUAACUUUCCUGGGGGUCACCCGACUACUUCCAUCAUAACACACUUAACUCUCUUAACUUCUUGAGCUUAGUCACCACCAAAAUGCUUAAGCCGGGUUAAGAGUUUUAACCCUAUAUAGAACUAUCUAGGUCUCACAUUAAUUGCAUACAACUCUCUGUAAACAAAUCAAAUAAUAGAUAUAUCCCUAUAAAAGUUUAAUUUUUUAUAGUUAUCCCUACAAAAGUCCUACCAUUUUCAAAUAUCCCUACGUUGUUACCAUCAUACAGUUAAUUAUAAGUAAAAUAUUUAAUCCGGGUUACUGGAUAGGUUAAAUUGAUGUUUUUACCCUUUUUAUGUUAUUGGAUAAAAAUAAUUUUUAGAGGACAUUUCUGCAUAAUGGGCUUUUAGAGAGAUAUAUUUAUAAAAGCAAAAAUAUCUUUUUUUUAUUUACUGUUAAAAAGAAUUAUGCUACUAUACUAUCAAUAGUACCAAGUCCUUAGUACUAUUGAGUUUUCGGCCGUUUGAUGAAAAGAUGAGUGGUUAUGAUGAUAAUGAUCUCCUAGGGUUGAGUGGGUGGUUGGUUUAAUAGUAUAAUCUAAUGGGUGGAAAUGAUAAAAGGAUAGAUUUGACGGUAGAAAACUCAAUAGUAUCAAGAGCUUAGUAUUAUCGAUAGUAUAGUAGUCGGACUCCUGUUAAAAAAUAAAAAGUCCUCUAACAAUAACAAACCAGAGCAACAAAUAUGGAUAUCACUAGGCUUUUGCAAGGGUAACAAUAAAAAAUUAAACUUUAUAGGAAUAUAUGCCUGCUAUUCGAUAUAUUUAUAGGGUGUUGUAUGCAAUUAACCCAAUCUAAAAAUAUGGUCCAAUUUUAUAAAAAUUAAAACUAAUAAAAAAAAUUUGCUUUUAUAUAUGCAGAAACUUUCUGUAAAUAUUUAUUUUUUAAAAUUUUUUCUAACUUUCAAAAAUUUUUAUUUUUUUUCUUAAAAUNGAGCCCGGCUACUAUACUUUUAUGAGUAUAGUCCUCUUUAUACUCAUAAAUUUUUUACCGUUAGAUCUACUUCUUUGAUCAUUUCCAUCCGUUAAAUCAUACUAUUUAACCAACCACCCACUCAACUCUAGGGAACCACUAUUAACCUAACCGGGGACUAUUAUCAUCCUAACCUCACAUCAUUUUAUCCAAUGGUCGAAAACUUAUGAGUACAAAGGGGCUACACUCAUAAGAGUAUAGUAGCCCUAGACUAUAUGAGCCCGGCUACUAUACUUUUAUGAGUAUAGUCCUCUUUAUACUCAUAAAUUUUUUACCGUUAGAUCUACUUCUUUGAUCAUUUCCAUCCGUUAAAUCAUACUAUUUAACCAACCACCCACUCAACUCUAGGGAACCACUAUUAACCUAACCGGGGACUAUUAUCAUCCUAACCUCACAUCUUUUUAUCCAAUGGUCGAAAACUU